UUACGGCCAUAUCUCGUUGAAACACUAGUUCUCGUUCGAUCACUGAAGUUAAACAACGCCGAGCCUCGUCAGUAGCUAGGUGGGUGACCACUUGAGAAUACCAGGUGCUGUAGG